GGCUGAUCUACCGGGACGCCGGGAAAAGGUGGUACCUCACCGCCCUGGUCAGCCUCCUAUAAAUGAGGG
rnacentral:sRNA from 1 species